rnacentral:rRNA from 1 species
GACGAACCGUGCAAACGUUAUUCGGAAUCACUGGGCUUAAAGCGCGUGUAGGCGGGCCGGCACGUCGAGAGCUGAAAGCCCCCGGCUCAACCGGGGAACGGGCCUCGAUACGACCGGCCUGGAGGGGGGUAGGGGGAGCCGGAACUUCCGGUGGAGCGGUGAAAUGCGUUGAGAUCGGAAGGAACGCCCGUGGCGAAAGCGGGCUCCUGGACCCCACCUGACGCUGAGACGCGAAAGCCAGGGGA